CCCUUAGAUGUCCUGGGCCGCACGCGCGCUACAAUGACACGUUCAACAAGUACUUUCCUGGCUUGGAAAAGUUUCGGGUAAUCUUUAUAAUACGUGUCGUGCUGGGGAUUGAUCUUUGGAAUUAUAGAUCUUGAACGAGGAAUUCCUAGUAAGCAUAAGUCAUCAGCUUGUGCUGAUUACGUCCCUGCCCUUUGUACACACCGCCCGUCGCUCCUACCGAUUUUGAGUGAUCCGGUGAACCUUUUGGACUGCGGUGUCUUCAUGGCACCCGUGGGAAGUUAAGUAAACCUUAUCACUUAGAGGAAGGAGAAGUCGUAACA
rnacentral:rRNA from 1 species